rnacentral:rRNA from 1 species
UGGGGAAUUUUGGACAAUGGGGGAAACCCUGAUCCAGCCAUCCCGCGUGUGCGAUGAAGGCCUUCGGGUUGUAGAGCACUUUUGUCAGGAAAGAAACGUCAUGGGUUAAUACCCCGUGAAACUGACGGUACCUGCAGAAUAAGCACCGGCUAACUACGUGCCAGCAGCCGCGGUAAUACGUAGGGUGCAAGCGUUAAUCGGAAUUACUGGGCGUAAAGCGUUCGCAGGCGGUUCGGUAAGAAAGAUGUGAAAUCCCAGAGCUCAACUUUGGAACUGCAUUUGUAACUACCGGGCUAGAGUGUGGCAGAGGGAGGUGGAAUUCCGCGUGUAGCAGUGAAAUGCGUAGAUAUGCGGAGGAACACCGAUGGCGAAGGCAGCCUCCUGGGAUAACACUGACGCUCAUGCACGAAAGCGUGGGGAGCAAACAGG